GUCGCUCCCUUUUAAAGUCAACAACCGUUGAAAAUUUAAUUUUUUUGCAUAACAACAUGUAAAUCGGAACGCUAAAAUGAAGAAAACGAAAAGUAUAUAUAUGUUUCGAUAUUUUCAAAGACAACCCCACGUUAAUUUUAUCUGUAUUAUUCAAAUUUCCAAAAUCUGUCAGUAACUUUGUUUGUCGCGAGAAAAAUGGCGAAGAAUAAUAAAAAUAAUAAUAUAAUAAAUAAUAUAAAUAAAUAAAAUAAAAGUCGAGAUCGAUUCCAAAGCUGAC